rnacentral:lncRNA from 1 species
CUUUCUUUGUACGGUUUUCAUGUGCUUUUCAUGGAACAUAGUGAAGAAGUGACAGUCAAAAAAACAUAGCAUCAUUGACUGUCAUUAAAUUCUAAGAAAAAAUAUCCCCAUUUGCUUAUCCUGACCAAUAAAUUUUAAAUCUUACCAAUGUUCAUUUGUCUUUGUCUUUGCUGAACUGGCUGUAAGGAGAAGUGGAUUUUUGAGACUUAUUGAGACACUUAUCUCAGCCUGAGCCAGUCAGAUGUUACUGACUCUUUGAAAUACCUUCCGUCAGACAUGAAUUCUAAUCAGCCACAGAUGUUUAUUUUCAUUCACUGAAGACUUGAAACCAAAAGCUAGAGGUGGCAAAGCUCAGUCUUGCUAAUCUCCUAGGUGUCCUCACUUUGCUAAAUUUAAUCAAUGGCUGCUGGUACUGACCUUUCUUUCCUUGACAUCAGGAAGAGGAUGGACCUACUGAAUUCAUCUCAUCCAGCCUGAUGAGGAGGCCUACAGUUCCAGAGUAGUACACUCCAGAGAGUGUAGUAUGUAGAUAAUGACAUUAAUUCCUUCUCUAAUGAUCAAACACAAAUGACUCCAUUGACGCUGAUUGUGAGGUGGACAAAAAUCCACAAUGGAAAUGCUGGAGUAGAAAAAAAGUGAAUGCAGCACUAGUGCAGAUCCUUCCCUGCAAGUGAAGAAAAGUGGAAAAAAAAAUUGUGCAUGGAUACAGAAAAAAAUUACAUCCUGGAAAUUAUGGAUAUUAUUUUCUCUUUUUCAAGACUAACUGGAAUGCAUGUAUUUUUACACAUGAAGUAAUACAGAAUGUUAUAAUAAAGUGUAUAAUUGGAAUCGGUCUGACUGUCUGAAAAAUGAAUUAGAACAUGAUACAAAACUCUGAAGUCCAUAUUCAUUCAUAUGAGACUCUCAAAUAAAGAUGAAGAUAUUUUUUUUUUCCCUUCUCUUAGAUGCCUGACAACUCCACAAAAGACCACAAUAUUUGAUGAUUAUGGAAGUAAUAAGGGAGAGGAACAAGACAGAGGAAAAGUUGAAACAGGCUUUGAUAUACGUUUGUGUUCUAGAGGAAGCAAAUUAGCUCCAAAAUAUGGAAAUGAAGACACAGGGUCAUUGUGUCUGGGAGACAGGAUCCACUGA